AACAGGAUUAGAUACCCUGGUAGUCCACGCCGUAAACGAUGUCGACUUGGAGGCUGUUCCCUUGAGGAGUGGCUUCCGGAGCUAACGCGUUAAGUCGACCGCCUGGGGAGUACGGCCGCAAGGUUAAAACUCAAAUGAAUUGACGGGGGCCCGCACAAGCGGUGGAGCAUGUGGUUUAAUUCGAUGCAACGCGAAGAACCUUACCUACUCUUGACAUCCACGGAAUUUGGCAGAGGUGCCUUAGUGCCUUCGGGAACCGUGAGACAGGUGCUGCAUGGCUGUCGUCAGCUCGUGUUGUGAAAUGUUGGGUUAAGUCCCGCAACGAGCGCAACCCUUAUCCUUUGUUGCCAGCGAUUCGGUCGGGAACUCAAAGGAGACUGCCGGUGAUAAACCGGAGGAAGGUGGGGAUGACGUCAAGUCAUCAUGGCCCUUACGAGUAGGGCUACACACGUGCUACAAUGGCGCAUACAAAGAGAAGCGACCUCGCGAGAGCAAGCGGACCUCACAAAGUGCGUCGUAGUCCGGAUCGGAGUCUGCAACUCGACUCCGUGAAGUCGGAAUCGCUAGUAAUCGUAGAUCAGAAUGCUACGGUGAAUACGUUCCCGGGCCUUGUACACACCGCCCGUCACACCAUGGGAGUGGGUUGCAAAAGAAGUAGGUAGCUUAACCUUCGGGAGGGCGCUUACCACUUUGUGAUUCAUGACUGGGGUGAAGUCGUAACAAGGUAACCGUAGGGGAACCUGCGGCUGGAUCACCUCCUU
rnacentral:rRNA from 1 species